UGGGGAAUUUUGGACAAUGGGCGCAAGCCUGAUCCAGCCAUGCCGCGUGCGGGAAGAAGGCCUUCGGGUUGUAAACCGCUUUUGUCAGGGAAGAAAUCUUCUGAGUUAAUACCUCGGGAGGAUGACGGUACCUGAAGAAUAAGCACCGGCUAACUACGUGCCAGCAGCCGCGGUAAUACGUAGGGUGCAAGCGUUAAUCGGAAUUACUGGGCGUAAAGCGUGCGCAGGCGGUUUUGUAAGACAGAGGUGAAAUCCCCGGGCUCAACCUGGGAACUGCCUUUGUGACUGCAAGGCUUGAGUGCGGCAGAGGGGGAUGGAAUUCCGCGUGUAGGCAGUGAAAUGCGUAGAUAUGCGGAGGAACACCGAUGGCGAAGGCAAUCCCCUGGGCCUGCACUGACGCUCAUGCACGAAAGCGUGGGGAGCAAACAGGAUUAGAUAGCCCUGGUAGUCCACGCCCUAAACGAUGUCAACUGGUUGUUGGGAAGGUUCCUUCUCAGUAACGUAGCUAACGCGUGAAGUUGACCGCCUGGGGAGUACGGCCGCAA
rnacentral:rRNA from 1 species